GUAUUUUAACCGAUGCGAAGGUAGCAUAGUCAUUAGUCUCUUAAUUGGGGGCUUGUAUGAACGGUUAGACAAGAAGCAAACUGUCUCAAAAAUAAAGUUUGAAAUUGACUUUUAAGUGAAAAGGCUUAAAUAUUUUAAAGGGACGAUAAGACCCUAUAAAGCUUAAUAAUUUUGCGCGUAGGCAAAUAAGUUGUUAGUAUAAUGUUAUCUAAGCAUUAAAUUAUUUCGUUGGGGCGACGGUGACAUAAUUUGUAACUGUUUAAAAAUAUUAAUCAAAAAUGUUUGUGUUUAUUGAUCCAUUAAUUGUGAUUAAAAAUUUAAGUUACUUUAGGGAUAACAGCGUUAUUUAUUUUGAGAGUUCAUAUCGACAAAAAAGUUUGCGACCUCGAUGUUGAAUUAAAAAUUUGCCAUGGCGUAGGAGUUGUGGUGGAGGGUCUGUUCGACCUUUAAAUUUUUACAUGAUUUGAGUUCAAACCGGCGUGAGCCA
rnacentral:rRNA from 1 species